rnacentral:rRNA from 1 species
UACGGAGGAUGCAAGCGUUAUCCGGAUUUACUGGGUUUAAAGGGUGCGUAGGCGGACGGGUCAGUCAGUGGUGAAAGCCUGUUGCUUAACAACAGAACGGCCAUUGAUACUGCUUGUCUUGAGUACAGUUGAGGUUGGCGGAAUAUGUCAUGUAGUAGUGAAAUACUUAGAUAUGACAUAGAACACCGAUUGCGAAGGCAGCUAGCUAAGCUGUUACUGACGCUGAGGCACGAAAGCGUGGGGAGCAAACAGG